GACGAACGCUGGCGGCGUGCUUAACACAUGCAAGUCGAGCGAGGCCCCUCCUUCGGGAGGGUGUCCUAGCGGCGAACGGGUGAGUAACACGUGGGCAACCUGCCCCCGGCUCUGGGAUAACACCAAGAAAUUGUGGCUAAUACCGGAUAUGACCGCUGACCGCAUGGUCUGGUGGGGGAAAGAUUUAUCGGCUGGGGAUGGGCCCGCGGCCCAUCAGCUUGUUAGUGGGGUAGUGGCCUACCAAGGCGACGACGGGUAGCCGGCCUGAGAGGGUGACCGGCCACACUGGGACUGAGACACGGCCCAGACUCCUACGGGAGGCAGCAGUGGGGAAUAUUGCGCAAUGGGCGGAAGCCUGACGCAGCGACGCCGCGCGGGGGAUGACGGCCUUCGGGUUGUAAACCUCUUUCAGCAGGGACGAAGCGAAAGUGACGGUACCUGCAGAAGAAGCACCGGCCAACUACGUGCCAGCCGCCGCAGUAA
rnacentral:rRNA from 1 species